rnacentral:rRNA from 1 species
UACGGGAGGCAGCAGUGGGGAAUAUUGGGCAAUGGGCGAAAGCCUGACCCAGCAACGCCGCGUGAAGGAAGAAGGCCUUCGGGUUGUAAACUUCUUUUAUGAGGGACGAAGGACGUGACGGUACCUCAUGAAUAAGCCACGGCUAACUACGUGCCAGCAGCCGCGGUAA